rnacentral:RNase_P_RNA from 1 species
CGAGUAAGCGAGGCGAUCGCGCGGGGGAGACUCCGUGAGGAAAGUCCGGGCUCCGUAGGGCAAGGGUGCCGGAUAACGUCCGGCGCGGGUAACCGUAGGGAAAGUGCAACAGAAACAUACUUCCGAUGGCUGCUUCGGCAGCACAGGAGAUGGUGAAAUGGCGAGUUAAGAGCUCACCGGCGUCAUGGAGACAUGGCGGCCGUGUAAACCCCACCCGGUGCAAGGUAAGAGGGUAUGCCUGUCUUAUGACAGGGGCCGCGGCCCGUGGCCACCCGGAAUGGUAUGCCGCAGGCGAGCGCUCAGGCGCUCCGGAGGCGGGCGGCAACGUCCGUCCCAGAUAGAUGAUCGUCCACGACAGAAUCCGGCUUAUUGCUUGCUCAAAUU